ACUAAGUUUACUUAAAGGUAGUAGCCUAAAAGCCAAACCCAUAUAAACUGGCGGUCACACUAUAUUAGAGGAACUCGCUCUUUAAUCGUCAAUACCCGCUAAAUCCAACCACCUUUGCACUCAUUUUUUAAAGCCUAUAUACCGCCGUUUCAGACUAAACCCUAUAAAUAUAUUCUAAAAAGAACACACAAAAAAAUCAGGUCAAGGUGUAGUUAACAAGGUGGGAAGAGUUAGUUACAUUAAAGAAAAUUUAAGGAUAUUAGCUUUUAAAUUAGCCCUAAAAAAGAAUCUGACCUAACAAACUAGUUAACAUCUAAUUUAGAACUCCUUCUUGCGACGC
rnacentral:rRNA from 2 species